AAGGAUGCACCGCAGGAAGCGAAGCAGUACAAAAGGGAGCAGGGAUCGAGUUACAGGAAGUACCAGCGUUAAGGAUGAUGAUCAGGACGUUAUUCUGCGAAACCCCGCUUCGGCGGGGUUUU
rfam:Pseudomonas bauzanensis strain CGMCC 1.9095 genome assembly, contig: Ga0066784_101